UACGUAGGUGGCAAGCGUUGUCCGGAAUUACUGGGUGUAAAGGGCGUGUAGGCGGGGAUGCAAGUCAGAUGUGAAACUCCACGGCUCAACUGUGGAAUUGCAUCUGAAACUGUAUAUCUUGAGUGUUGGAGAGGGAAGUGGAAUUCCUAGUGUAGCGGUGAAAUGCGUAGAGAUUAGGAGGAACACCAGUGGCGAAGGCGGCUUCCUGGCCAACAACUGACGCUGAGGCGCGAAAGCGUGGGGAG
rnacentral:rRNA from 1 species